rnacentral:rRNA from 1 species
UGGGGAAUAUUGCACAAUGGGCGCAAGCCUGAUGCAGCCAUGCCGCGUGUAUGAAGAAGGCCUUCGGGUUGUAAAGUACUUUCAGUCGGGAGGAAGGUGUCAAGGUUAAUAACCUUGGCAAUUGACGUUACCGACAGAAGAAGCACCGGCUAACUCCGUGCCAGCAGCCGCGGUAAUACGGAGGGUGCAAGCGUUAAUCGGAAUUACUGGGCGUAAAGCGCACGCAGGCGGUUGAUUGAGUCAGAUGUGAAAUCCCCGGGCUUAACCCGAGAAUUGCAUCUGAUACUGGUCAGCUAGAGUCUUGUAGAGGGGGGUAGAAUUCCAUGUGUAGCGAUGAAAUGCGUAGAGAUGUGGAGGAAUACCGGUGGCAAAGGCGGCCCCCUGGACAAAGACUGACGCUCAGGUGCGAAAGCGUGGGGAGCAAACAGG